rnacentral:rRNA from 1 species
GACGAACGCUGGCGGCGUGCCUAAUACAUGCAAGUCGAGCGAAGUUUUUCUGGUGCUUGCACCGGAAAAACUUAGCGGCGAACGGGUGAGUCACACGUAAAGAACCUGCCUCAUAGACUGGGACAACUAUUGGAAACGAUAGCUAAUACCGGAUAAUAGCAUUAACUGCAUGGUUGAUGUUUAAAAGUUUGUUUUGCUAACACUAUGAGAUGGCUUUGCGGUGCAUUAGCUAGUUGGUGGGGUAAAGGCCUACCAAGGCGACGAUGCAUAGCCGACCUGAGAGGGUGAUCGGCCACACUGGGACUGAGACACGGCCCAGACUCCUACGGGAGGCAGCAGUAGGGAAUCUUCCGCAAUGGGCGAAAGCCUGACGGAGCAACGCCGCGUGAGUGAAGAAGGAUUUCGGUUCGUAAAGCUCUGUUGUUAGGGAAGAAGGAUUGUGUAGUAACUAUACACAGUAGAGACGGUACCUAACCAGAAAGCCACGGCUAACUACGUG